ACGGCGAGUGAAGCGGGAAGAGCUCAAAUUUGUAAUCUGGCCCUUUCAGGGUCCGAGUUGUAAUCUCGAGAAGUGUUUUCCGCGCCGGACCGCAUACAAGUCUGUUGGAAUACAGCGUCAUAGUGGUGAGAGCCCCGUAAUUGAUGUGGAUGCCCGGUGCUUUGUGAUACACUUUCGAAGAGUCGAGUUGUUUGGGAAUGCAGCUCAAAUUGGGUGGUAAAUUCCAUCUAAAGCUAAAUAUUGGCGAGAGACCGAUAGCGAACAAGUACCGUGAGGGAAAGAUGAAAAGCACUUUGGAAAGAGAGUUAACAGUACGUGAAAUUGUUGGAAGGGAAACGCUUGAAGUCAGACUUGCUAUUCGGAAUUCAGCCGCAAGGUGUACUUUUCGAUUUGCAGGCCAGCAUCAGUUUUUGGGGGUGGAAAAGGGUGGAGAGAAGGUAGCAACCUUGGUUGUGUUAUAGCUCUUUACUGGAUUCAUCUUUGGGGACUGAGGAUCGCAGUGCGCAAUUUACUUUGCAAACCUUUCGAGGUUUUCGUACUUAGGAUGCUGGUGGAAUGGCUUUAAACGACCCGUCUUGA
rnacentral:rRNA from 2 species